GUGGGUAUAACUCAGCGGUACAGUGCAGGCUUGGCAUGCAUAGGGUCCUGAGUUCAACUCCCAGUACCUCCA
rnacentral:tRNA from 1 species